rnacentral:rRNA from 1 species
UACGUAGGGUCCAAGCGUUGUCCGGAAUUAUUGGGCGUAAAGAGCGUGUAGGCGGCCAGGUAGGUCCGGUGUGAAAACUCGAGGCUUAACCUCGAGAUGUCAUCGGAAACCAUCUGGCUAGAGUCCGGAAGAGGAAAGUGGAAUUCCUGGUGUAGCGGUGAAAUGCGCAGAUAUCAGGAAGAACACCAAUGGCGAAAGCAGCUUUCUGGGACGGUACUGACGCUGAGACGCGAAAGCGUGGGGAGCGAACAGG